AUACGAAGGGGGCUAGCGUUGUUCGGAAUUACUGGGCGUAAAGCGCGCGUAGGCGGACUGAUCAGUUGGGGGUGAAAUCCCAGGGCUUAACCCUGGAACUGCCUCCAAUACUGUCAGUCUUGAGUUCGGGAGAGGUGAGUGGAAUUCCUAGUGUAGAGGUGAAAUUCGUAGAUAUUAGGAAGAACACCAGUGGCGAAGGCGGCACACUGGCCCGAUACUGACGCUGAGGCGCGAAAGCGUGGGGAGCAAACAGGAUUAGAUACCCUAGUAGUCC
rnacentral:rRNA from 1 species